GAGUAACUUCGGUUUUGUUCGGUUCGACUGGUGGGGAACACGGCCACAAGUGGGGAUUUCGGAGAGUGGGGGUUACGGCCGAGGUUACUCCUCUGACAAUAUUCACUAUAAUAUUCAGUAUAGCAGUCCCGCUCUCAGAGGGACCAAUGGACUGGGCAACAGGGUGCAACCGACCUACUUCCUGGGUGAAAUUUCCAAAUUUGGGCAAUAUUAAGCUCAGUUAGCAACAAAACAGCCAAACUCCGCCUCAUAACCCGUCAACGUACGCCCAAAUUAUCUGAGAAGAUACGCCCAACCGGUCGAGACCUCUACGCCUCGGCUCAGCCUACUUAUUAUAGACCAACCACCUGCCGAAUUCUCUCAACAAUCAUCACCGGCACUGCCUCGCCAAGAACUACACACUGAGUGAUUCUCGCGUACCAUUUAAAAUCACCACUCGGAAAGGAAUUCAAUAGAAACUUCAAAAUAUUGACUUUCUCGGUUUCGUCAUGGUGAAAUGGAUGUCGUGAGUACGGGAAAGUAGCGCAAUAAAAUGGAAAUACCGCAAAUAGAUGUGAGAUUUCCAGGAAAUAGUUACAACUUGAGAAAUGAAAAUUAUGUAUGUUAAAUUACCAGUUAAAGUAUAAACUACGAAAUUUAAGUACUUGAGAUUUGUUAGUGCUUUAAAAUUAGGGAGGAAUAUACAGGCAUUAAUUUGAAAAUAUUUCAGGCUAGCAAGGGAAAGUCUGAUAAAAAUCGUGCAAUGUUAGAAAAAAUAAAAUAAUAAUAAUAAUAAUGGUUUGGUCCAAAUUUUCGUAUGACCAUUAUGUUAUUAUGGAUUGAAACAUGAAUUAAAAUUUGUAAAUGUUAAUUUUUUUAAA